rnacentral:rRNA from 1 species
GAGCGGCAGCGGAAAGUAGCUUGCUACUUUGCCGGCGAGCGGCGGACGGGUGAGUAAUGUCUGGGAAACUGCCUGAUGGAGGGGGAUAACUACUGGAAACGGUAGCUAAUACCGCAUGACCUCGAAAGAGCAAAGUGGGGGAUCUUCGGGCCUCACGCCAUCGGAUGUGCCCAGAUGGGAUUAGCUAGUAGGUGAGGUAAUGGCUCACCUAGGCGACGAUCCCUAGCUGGUCUGAGAGGAUGACCAGCCACACUGGAACUGAGACACGGUCCAGACUCCUACGGGAGGCAGCAGUGGGGAAUAUUGCACAAUGGGCGCAAGCCUGAUGCAGCCAUGCCGCGUGUGUGAAGAAGGCCUUAGGGUUGUAAAGCACUUUCAGCGAGGAGGAAGGCGUCAUACUUAAUACGUGUGGCGAUUGACGUUACUCGCAGAAGAAGCACCGGCUAACUCCGUG